GGGGCUUUAGCUCAGUGGUAGAGCGCGCGCUUUGCAUGCGUGAGGCCACCGGUUCAAACCCGGUAAGCUCCA
rfam:Volvox carteri f. nagariensis unplaced genomic scaffold VOLCAscaffold_55, whole genome shotgun sequence.